GCCUUACACAUGCAAGUCGAACGGCAGCACGGAGCAACCUGGUGGCGAGUGGCGAACGGAUGAGUAAUAUAUCGGAACGUACCCUGGAGUGGAGGAUAACGUAGCGAAAGUUACGCUAAUACCGCAUACGAUCUAAGGAUGAAAGUGGGGGCUUCGCAAGAACCUCAUGCUCCUGGAGCGGCCGAUAUCUGAUUAGCUAGUUGGUGGGGUAAAGGCCCACCAAGGCUUCGAUCAGUAGCUGGUCUGAGAGGACGACCAGCCACACUGGAACUGAGACACGGUCCAGACUCCUACGGGAGGCAGCAGUGGGGAAUUUUGGACAAUGGGCGCAAGCCUGAUCCAGCAAUGCCGCGUGAGUGAAGAAGGCCUUCGGGUUGUAAAGCUCUUUUGUCAGGGAAGAAACGGUGAGGGCUAAUAUCCCUUGCUAAUGACGGUACCUGAAGAAUAAGCACCGGCUAACUACGUGCCAGCAGCCGCGGUAAUACGUAGGGUGCAAGCGUUAAUCGGAAUUACUGGGCGUAAAGCGUGCGCAGGCGGUUUUGUAAGUUUGUCGUGAAAGCCCCGGGCUCAACCUGGGAAUUGCGAUGAAGACUGCAAGGCUUGAAUCUGGCAGAGGGGGGUAGAAUUCCACGUGUAGCAGUGAAAUGCGUAGAGAUGUGGAGGAACACCGAUGGCGAAGGCAGCCCCCUGGGUCAAGAUUGACGCUCAUGCACGAAAGCGUGGGGAGCAAACAGGAUUAGAUACCCUGGUAGUCCACGCCCUAAACGAUGUCAACUAGUUGUUGGGGAUUCAUUUCCUUAGUAACGUAGCUAACGCGUGAAGUUGACCGCCUGGGGAGUACGGUCGCAAGAUUAAAACUCAAAAGAAUUGACGG
rnacentral:rRNA from 1 species